rnacentral:ncRNA from 2 species
AAAUCAAAUAGAGGUCGCAAAUAACAAAAUUAGUUAGCGGAGUUUUCCAUUCAGCAAAGAAACUAACGAAAGGGUUGUUUGCCGAAGUGCCAAGUAAUGGAGCUUGGUUAACUGGGACAUAACUUAAAAGGUUAUGGACUGUCGGAAUUUAUUCCGGGGAGCUAUGUAUAAU